AGUGAACGCUGGCGGUAGGCCUAACACAUGCAAGUCGAACGGCAGCACAGUAAGAGCUUGCUCUUACGGGUGGCGAGUGGCGGACGGGUGAGGAAUACAUCGGAAUCUACUUUUUCGUGGGGUAUAACGUAGGGAAACUUACGCUAAUACCGCAUACGACCUACGGGUGAAAGCAGGGGAUCUUCGGACCUUGCGCGAUUGAAUGAGCCGAUGUCGGAUUAGCGAGUUGGCGGGGUAAAGGCCCACCAAGGCGACGAUCCGUAGCUGGUCUGAGAGGAUGAACAGCCCCACUGGAACUGAGACACGGUCCAGACUCCUACGGGAGGCAGCAGUGGGGAAUAUUGGACAAUGGGCGCAAGCCUGAUCCAGCCAUACCGCGUGGGUGAAGAAGGCCUUCGGGUUGUAAAGCCCUUUUGUUGGGAAAGAAAAGCAGCAGGUUAAUACCCCGCUGUUCUGACGGUACCCAAAGAAUAAGCACCGGCUAACUUCGUG
rnacentral:rRNA from 1 species